CCUACGGGAGGCAGCAGUGGGGAAUAUUGGGCAAUGGGCGCAAGCCUGACCCAGCAACGCCGCGUGAAGGAAGAAGGCUUUCGGGUUGUAAACUUCUUUUCUGAGGGACGAAGAAAGUGACGGUACCUCAGGAAUAAGCCACGGCUAACUACGUGCCAGCCGCCGCGGUAAUCCGUAGGUGGCAAGCGUUAUCCGGAUUUAUUGGGUGUAAAGGGCGUGUAGGCGGGAAAGCAAGUCAGAGGUGCAAAACCAGGGCUCAACCCUGGGCCUGCAUUUGAAACUGUUUUUCUUGAGUGCUGGAGAGGCAAUCGGAAUUCCGGGUGUAGCAGUGAAAUGCGUAGAUAUAAGGAGGAACACCAGUGGCGAAGGCGGAUGGCUGGACAGUAACUGACGCUGAGGCGCGAAAGCGUGGGGAGCAAACAGGAUUAGAUACCCCUGUAGUC
rnacentral:rRNA from 1 species